GGGCAUCUUUAUCCCCACUCCAUAAUUUACUCCAAAAAUGGAGUGAGAAAUGGAGUAUGGACAAAAAAUAAAAAAUCUUUAUAUUUAUGGAGUAAUCACUUUUUUGUUUCUUCACUACUUCAUUUUCCACUCCAUUUUGCAGUAAAUUAUGGAGUGGAGAUGAAAAUGCUCUUAGUAA